CCGGGCGGGCAGUGCCGGGCAGUGCCGGGUGCCCGGCGCCCUCUGCUGCCUCCGGUCCCAGGGGCGCGGGGCCCUGCGAGAGGCGGCUCUGACUGGAUAACCCAGACAAGAUCUGACCUGGUAAAACGCAGUCAGUGGACUGAUCGUUCUAAAGAAAAUGACCCUCCAAGUAGAAACAAGAAUGAAUUAAUUGAUUUUUACCUCCAUUGCACAAGGAAAGGUGUCUUCUGCCAAGACCGCAUUUAGUUUUGUAGCAUGAAGAGAUGUUCCGGUUAUCUCCAAGCUUUUUCUAUCACUAUGGCAAAGGCAAAUAUCCUUUGGAAGGAAGACCAUCUUCCCUUCUCCCCACUUCCUCCAGGACAGAGAAGAAAGAACAUCAAUUUAUUGUCCUGACAAAGUUGACCACCUGGACCCAUUGCUCUCAAGCCAGAAAUGCAAUACUAUAGCAUACUCCAGCAAAAUGUGCCCUAGGAACAGAUCAUUUGCCACAUCAGCAGCAUUUCUGUGGAGUUCACUGUCCAACUUACAGUGACAGCCAACAGCUGUCCUUCAGUGGAAGAGGAACACUGCACAUAACGGGCCAAGUUCAUCUUGCAGUGCUUUAAAUAAUUUCCUUAUUUGCUAAGAAUAUUAUGCCCCUAUACUUGAUGUAUGACUUCCUCCUUUAGCUUGCAUUACUUUACUGUAAAUAUUCUUUCAGUAGUGAAAAACCACAUUUUUUAAAAAAAAAAGUCAAACCCCAUGCAGAAUGCACAAUUCACCACAAAUAGUGGUAAAUACUGUAGCACAUAAAUUUAUAUAACGUUCCAGCCAAGAAACUUCCUCAAAGCAUCCCAACUAAAAAGUAUCACAUUAUCAGACGCUAUAAUUAUCUGAAAUCAAAA